UUUUUCAAAGCAAGUAUUGAAAGACCCCCGGUGUGGGGAGACCCUCACUCAAGUCUCAGGAUGUUGUGACUCCACAAGAACUCACGCAAGACC
rnacentral:pre_miRNA from 14 species